AAGCUACUAAAAAAUCUUUCUUAUAUUUUCAAAAUAUACGCUUUAAUUAAUAAGCUAAGUAGCUGU
rnacentral:tRNA from 1 species